rnacentral:rRNA from 1 species
AUAUUGGUCAAUGGAGGCAACUCUGAACCAGCCAUGCCGCGUGAAGGAUUAAGGCCCUCUGGGUUGUAAACUUCUUUUAUAUGGGAAGAAAUGUACUUUUUCUAAAGUGCUUGACGGUACCAUAGGAAUAAGCACCGGCUAACUCCGUGCCAGCAGCAGCGGUAAUACGGAGGGUGCAAGCGUUAUCCGGAUUUACUGGGUUUAAAGGGUGCGGAGGCGGAUGAAUAAGUCAGUGGUGAAAUCUCCGAGCUUAACUCGGAAACUGCCGUUGAUACUAUUUGUCUUGAAUAUUGUGGAGGUAAGCGGAAUAUGUCAUGUAGCGGUGAAAUGCUUAGAUAUGACAUAGAACACCAAUUGCGAAGGCAGCUUGCUACACAAUCAUUGACGCUGAGGCACGAAAGCGUGGGGAUCAAACA